rnacentral:tRNA from 1 species
ACCUACUUAACUGCAGUGGUUAGAGUAUCGCUUUCAUACGGCGAGAGUCAUUGGUUCAAAUCCAAUAGUAGGUA